rnacentral:rRNA from 1 species
AGAGUUUGAUUCUGGCUCAGAACGAACGCUGGCGGCGUGGAUAAGACAUGCAAGUCGAACGGGAUUUGUUUUGUAGCAAUACGAAGCGAGUCCAGUGGCGCAAGGGUGCGUAACACGUAAGCAAUCUGCCUAAAAGUGGGGGAUAGCUCGCCGAAAGGCGAAUUAAUACCGCAUGAUGUCGCGAAUCAAUUUUUCGCGACCAAAGCUGGAGCAAUCUGGCGCUUUAUGAUGAGCUUGCGGCCUAUCAGCUAGUUGGCGGGAUAAAAGCCCACCAAGGCUAUGACGGGUAGCUGGUCUGAGAGGACGACCAGCCACACUGGAACUGAGACACGGUCCAGACACCUACGGGUGGCAGCAGUCGAAAAUUUUUCUCAAUGGGGGAAACCCUGAAGGAGCGACGCCGCGUGGAGGAUGAAGGUCUUCGGAUUGUAAACUCCUGUCAUUGAUGAACAAAGCCAUCGCAAGGUGGUCUGAUAGUAAUCGAAGAGGAAGAGACGGCUAACUCUGUGCCAGCAGCCGCGGUAAUACAGAGGUCUCAAGCGUUGUUCGGAUUUAUUGGGCGUAAAGGGUGCGUAGGCGGCAGAUCAAGUUAGAUGCGAAAUACCCGGGCUCAACUCGGGAACUGCAUUUAAUACUGCUCUGCUCGAGUAUUAGAGGAGAAGCUGGAAUUUACGGUGUAGCAGUGAAAUGCGUAGAUGUCGUAAAGAACGUCAGUGGCGAAAGCGAGCUUCUAGAUAAUUACUGACGCUGAGGCACGAAAGUUAGGGGAGCAAACGGGAUUAGAUACCCCGGUAGUCCUAGCCGUAAACGGCGCGCGUUUGGUGUGAGGGGGUUCGACCCUCCUUGUGCCGGAGCUAACGCGUUAAACGCGCCGCCUGGGAAAUACGGUCGCAAGACUAAAACUCAAAGAAAUUGACGGGGGCCCGCACAAGCGGUGGAGUAUGUGGCUUAAUUCGAUCCACGCGAAGAACCUUACCUGGGCUUGACAUGCAUUUCUAAGGCGGUGAAAGCCGUCGAGGGUAGCAAUACCCAACUUGCACAGGUGCUGCAUGGCUGUCGUCAGCUCGUGUCGUGAGAUGUUGGGUUAAGUCCCGCAACGAGCGCAACCCUCGUGCACUGUUACCGAGUCAAAUCGGCACUCUGCGCAGACUGCCCCGUGAAACGGGGAGGAAGGCGAGGAUGACGUCAAGUCAGCAUGGCCCUUACGCCCAGGGCUGCACACGUACUACAAUGCCCAGCACAAAACGAGCCGAUCCCGCGAGGUAUCGGAAACCAAAAAAGCUGGGUUCAGUUCGGAUUGCAGGCUGCAACUCGCCUGCAUGAAGCUGGAAUCGCUAGUAAUGCCGUAUCAGCUACGACGGCGUGAAUACGUUCCCGGGCCUUGUACACACCGCCCGUCACAUCAUGGAAGUCGCUUGUUCCCAAAGGGCUGCAACACUUUGUGUUGCCGUCCAAAGGCGCAAGCGGUAACUGGGAUGAAGUCGUAACAAGGU